CACGUAGGGUCCGAGCGUUGUCCGGAAUUACUGGGCGUAAAGAGCGCGCAGGCGGUCGAUCAAGUCGAGUGUGAAAGCCCCCGGCUCAACUGGGGAGGGUCAUUCGAUACUGAUCGACUCGAAGGCAGGAGAGGGUAGUGGGAUUCCCGGUGUAGUGGUGAAAUGCUUAGAUAUCGUCAAGAACACCGAUAGCGAAGGCAGCUUACUGGGCUGUAACUGACGCUGAGGCACGAAAGUGUGGGGAUCAAACAGG
rnacentral:rRNA from 1 species